rnacentral:rRNA from 1 species
GGGGGAUAUUGCACAAUGGAGGAAACUCUGAUGCAGCGACGCCGCGUGAGGGAAGAAGGUUUUCGGAUUGUAAACCUCUGUCUUCGGGGACGAAACAAAUGACGGUACUCGAGGAGGAAGCCACGGCUAACUACGUGCCAGCAGCCGCGGUAAUACGUAGGUGGCAAGCGUUGUCCGGAAUUACUGGGUGUAAAGGGAGCGCAGGCGGAACUGCAAGUUGGGUGUUUAAUCUACGGGCUCAACCCGUAUCAGCAUUCAAAACUGUGGUUCUUGAGUAAUGCAGAGGUAGGCGGAAUUCCCGGUGUAGCGGUGGAAUGCGUAGAUAUCGGGAGGAACACCAGUGGCGAAGGCGGCCUACUGGGCAUCAACUGACGCUGAGGCUCGAAAGCAUGGGUAGCAAACA